GGAUUUAGGGGAAAGUUGGUUUUCAAAAGGAUAAGGCCAGCUUCCUGCAGGACCUGCAGCUGUUUCACGACCGGAAUGGGUAAGAAGGAAGCUUGGGUGUUUGGUGGCGUUUGUGAUUGAUUUUGUUUGUUUUUGUAGGACGCCGUUUAUGCGGUUGCCGAAGAUCGGAGGUCGGGAUGUGGAUUUGCACCGGUUGUAUUCCCGGGGUGGAACGCGGUGGGUAGACGAGAUUGAAGUUGAAGCAGAUUUGCAUCCGCUUUUUGAACAAGUACCAGUUAAUUUUAACGGUGAGGAGAAGGAUCCGACGGAAGAGGAAAACGACGAGAAGCGGCAUAAUCGGAGGUGGUAAGUGCGGAUGUUGCACUCGGUGCCGGCGGUUUAUGACCAUCAGCAGCAUCAUGUGCCGGAAGUGAUGGCGGGUCAGUGUGGGAUGUCCUGAGGGUCAGCAGUCCAUUUCUCGUCACGGGGCAUGUUUAAUGAGUAUUACCUAAACAUCCGGAAGAACAGUUUGCACCAGUUCUGGAAGGACCGUCUGUACAAAAGCCGCAGGUCCUGGAACUGUCGUAAUCGGAUUACUUCCAGAGGUUGGAGCGAGAUCCGACGAAUCUGAUCAAGAACAUCUACCUGGAAUACCGAAGAAGUCACCGCAACUCCCACCCGCAAACGCUCAUCUCGCGAUGGCGCAGCUUCUAUCGGAUGAACUUUGACGGCGAGUUUGCAACAUCUGGGAGGACGAAGUGAUCGGGAACUAUCUUUUCAGGCCGAGUUUCAGGCGCUUCACUUCCCAGCCGGAAAACGUCGACUUCCCUUCCCGAAUCAACAACCAAUGGCCAAUUCCUCCAAGCCUGUCCAGAUGAUGGCCGGCAACGAAACCACCCUGUUCUCUACAUCGUUGUCGAGCUCCAAAAUGAAGGGCGCGAUGUUGCUGCCCUACGAAACGUCCAUCCGUAGGGGUCUUCGGACGCGGAAGUUAGCUAACCAUAAGCAGAUGCGUUAAAUACAACAAUAAAACCAAAACAUACUGUUUUAAUAUUAAAAUAUUGAAAUAAAAUCCAUCACAUUUUUCGAAAAUCA